AAUGGCAUAAGCCAGCUUGACUGCGAGCGUGACGGCGCGAGCAGGUGCGAAAGCAGGUCAUAGUGAUCCGGUGGUUCUGAAUGGAAGGGCCAUCGCUCAACGGAUAAAAGGUACUCCGGGGAUAACAGGCUGAUACCGCCCAAGAGUUCAUAUCGACGGCGGUGUUUGGCACCUCGAUGUCGGCUCAUCACAUCCUGGGGCUGAAGUAGGUCCCAAGGGUAUGGCUGUUCGCCAUUUAAAGUGGUACGCGAGCUGGGUUUAGAACGUCGUGAGACAGUUCGGUCCCUAUCUGCCGUGGGCGCUGGAGAACUGAGGGGGGCUGCUCCUAGUACGAGAGGACCGGAGUGGACGCAUCACUGGUGUUCGGGUUGUCAUGCCAAUGGCACUGCCCGGUAGCUAAAUGCGGAAGAGAUAAGUGCUGAAAGCAUCUAAGCACGAAACUUGCCCCGAGAUGAGUUCUCCCUGACUCCUUGAGAGUCCUGAAGGAACGUUGAAGACGACGACGUUGAUAGGCCGGGUGUGUAAGCGCAGCGAUGCGUUGAGCUAACCGGUACUAAUGAACCGUGAGGCUUAACCUUACAACGCCGAAG
rnacentral:rRNA from 1 species